rnacentral:rRNA from 1 species
GAAAGAGGAGGCGAGCGUUAUCCGGAGUUAUUGGGCGUAAAGGGUACGUAGGCGGCUGGUCAAGUCUGGGGUUAAAGACCACAGCUUAACUGUGGGGGGGCCUUGGAAACUGACCGGCUGGAGUGGGGCAGGGGUUGCGGGAAUUCCCGGUGUAGCGGUGAAAGGCGUAGAUAUCGGGAAGAACGCCUGAGGCGAAAGCGCGCCACUGGGCCCUAACUGACGCUGAGGUACGAAAGCUAGGGGAGCGAAUGGG